ACAAUAGUAUACGGUUUCUUCGAGGGUGGUCAGCUCAUUCCCUAUCGAAAGGGGGUGGUGCUGUAUGACAGUUUUUGAAAGUUUAAUGCUAGCAAUAGCUUUUGCUUCCUUAAUUAUUGCGGUGCUGUCAUUUAAUCACAAAAAAUAAUCCACCCUUGAGUUUAGCGACCAAGGUGGAUUAUUUCCCUUAACAUGCUGACCCUUAAAAGGGAGCCUUGCUAUUGACUUACCGUUCGUGUGACACCACGGACA
rnacentral:sRNA from 1 species